GCCUUGACACCCUAGGGACUGUCUGCUCCACACCUGGGUCUGACCAGGGUGAGCAGGUCUUUUGGAACUUAGAGCACAACUAAAAGGGUUGACUGAACUCCCACCAAGAUGUCCUGCAAGCAAACCCAGCAGCUGUGCCAGCCUCCUCUUAAAGGGCCUACUACCAAGUGCCCCCCAAAGUGUCCCCCUAAGGGACCUCCUAAGGUGCCCUGUUCAAGUCUCUUCCUCCUGUGGCCCUAGCUCCGGGGCUGCUGUGGUCUCAGCUGACGACGGCAUCAGGGCUCCAGCUGUUGCUUUGGGGCUGCUGCUACCAGGAUUUUAAGCAUCACCUGAGUUACCGAAACACCAAGCACCUGCACUGCUCUCAUGAGUCUCGUUCAUCAGCGCGUUUUCAUCCCUUCAAGAACUCUUGCCUCGGAACAUUGCUACACAUGAGCUGUGUCUCAGAAGCAGUCAUGGGCACAGUGACUUGGGGCUGGGCUCAAAACUUGGUUUCCUGAGGUUUGGAUGUGAUUGCUCUGAACAAGCUGCUUUGCCACAAUAAAUAUUUUCAAGUU